rnacentral:tRNA from 1 species
GGGGCCUUAGCUCAGCUGGGAGAGCACCUGCUUUGCAAGCAGGGCGUCGUCGGUUCGAUCCCGACAGGCUCCACCA